ACGCUCGACACCUACGGGAGGUAGCAGUGGGGAAUAUUGCACAAUGGGGGAAACCCGUGAUGCAGCGACGCCGCGUGAAGGAAGAAGUAUCUCGGUAUGUAAACUUCUAUCAGCAGGGAAGAAAGUGACGGUACCUGACUAAGAAGCCCCGGCUAACUACGUGCCACAGCCGCGGUAAUCUGAGCGGGCUGGCAAGGC
rnacentral:rRNA from 1 species